UAAUCGGCCACCUCGUGUAACCACGCCCUGGAGGCAGCAGCAGUAAGUGCCCCGCCUCUCCAUAGUUGUUGCAUGCCGCAGGGUGGCCCGUUUCG
rnacentral:SRP_RNA from 15 species